GGAGUUGAUAGCUCAGUGGCAGAGUGAUUACUGAGUAUGAAUGAUGUCCUGGGUUCAAUCCCCAGUUUCUCCC